rnacentral:rRNA from 1 species
GACGAACUGUCCUAACGUUGUUCGGAAUCACUGGGCUUAAAGGGCGCGUAGGCGGUCGACCAAGUCAGGGGUGAAAUCCUGCAGCUUAACUGUAGAAGUGCCUUUGAUACUGGUCGUCUGGAGGGGGGUAGGGGUGUGUGGAACUUCCAGUGGAGCGGUGAAAUGCGUUGAUAUUGGAAGGAACGCCGGAGGCGAAAGCGACGCACUGGACCUCUUCUGACGCUGAGGCGCGAAAGCUAGGGGAGCAAACGGG